UAUAAUAGUCAGGGCGUGAAUUUUUAAUUAUUAUUUUAGUUAAUCAUAUUGCUUCGAAAUUGGCCACAACUCCUCAACUCACAACUAAUUUCUUCGAGCGAGCGGAAAGAGAGCAAAUUUGGCCUUCACCAAAAAAGUGGCUGCAUAGUGCCAAACCAAUGAAUGGCCGUUACGCAUCUUGUUAUUCUAGUGUCUUUGAUCAAACCCAUUAGAGUAAUGGGUUGAAUUUGUAAUUCAACAAAAUCUCCCAAGGUUCACCCAUUUCCGUGAUACUAUUCCUCAUAGCAUUCAAUAAAUUAUCCCUUAAAAAACAGCUUAAAGCCGACCUUGCGACAAAAAAGAAAGAAAACAUAAUAAACUGCAGUACAUGGUACCAAUCUAUUAAUACGAACACCUCACACACAUCCGAUUACCUCAAACAAUCUCACCCUAAUUGGAACAGACUCGACCAAAUAAAAAUAAUACGACUUCGACUAGGCCACACAAACAUAACCGACCAACACUACCUAAAUCCCAAUUCAAUACCCACUUGUCCAUUACAUUAGAUAUUAACUAAAUUAAGAUAUAAUAACAUUGUAAAUAAAUAUAGCUGUAAGCCCCGUAGCCAAUGCUAUGUUGCACAUGCAGGUGCAUGUUGAAGAUUUAAGUUAGUCUACUUUUGUAAACUAUUCUAUCUAUCAUAAUAACCAAUUAAUAAACAAAUUUAAAAGGAUCGGCAAACAAAAUUAUUUAUUUUGAAGACUGUGCAAACGAAAUAAUUUAUUCUUCAAGGGUGCACAAAUGUUUUAUAUUGAAAAUGUUUAUUUUUAAGAGGUGGGCUAACGGAAUUGGUUAUUUUUUAAGUGUGGGCAAUAAAAAAAAUAAUUGUUAAAUGUUUUUUAAUGGUGAGCAAACGAUAAAAAAUAAUAGUAAUGGUUGGGAAAACGUUUUUUUUUUUUUAUUAAUAUUUAGUUUUAAGAGAUGGACAAAAGCUUUCUUCUCUGAGUAGACCGAGAUUUACGUGAAUGUCGAAUAUACACAUUUUUUCAACAUUCUAGAGGGUUUCAAACGAUGUUAUUGCAAUUUAAAAAAAAAAUUUCGAACAUUUUUGAACUUUUUCGAAAAAUCAUAUUUCAAAACCUGGACGUGGGCAAAAAAAAAAAAACUAAUUGGUGGGAAAAUAUGCGAAAACGAUUCUAGUUUUCAAAUUUCAAAAAUUCAUUUUUUCCGAACCUAGUUUCUUUUAACUGAUGUUGUGACCAAGUGCACCCACACACUAACUUUUCGCGAUCCGAACUUAGCGGCAGUUCGGCACGACGACGAUUCGGACCCGCGAUUGACUCCGGAUUGAUUGACAAAAUUGAGCGCAAAGACUAGCGGUAGCAGUUGACUGCUUUUGAAAACAAUAUUGGUGGUCGACGCCUUCGGAAUUGCCAAAGAAUCUACGGGAGUCAAAGGAGGUUGCCCCGUAAGACUCCUAAUUCAACGAACGUGGCCCUCCCUGCGCUCAAUUAUAUGUUUGGAAUACACUCACCGGCGAUAUCGGGACCGCCUCGGGGAAAAGUAUCCAUUGAGAUCUUGACUCUUGACUCAUGACUCACUGAUUCUUCAGUGGUGAGUUUAGAGCGGAAUUGCCUGAAGAAAUAUGAUUUUAAGACUUCCAACAUAAAUUUAAUUUAUGUUGGCACCCUGGUUAUUCUAUGGGCAAAUGUAAAAAUAAAUUUUUUUGCGCAAAACUAAA